GACGAACGCUGGCGGCGUGCCUAAUACAUGCAAGUAGGACGCAGUUGCGAACGGGUGAGUAACGCGUAGGUACAUACAUAUUAGAGGCGGAUAAAUAUUGGAAACGAUAGCUAAUACCGCAUACUAGUAGAUGGACCUGCGUUGUAUUAGCUAGUAGGUCGGGUAAAGGCCUACCUAGGCAACGAUACAUAGCCGACCUGAGAGGGUGAUCGGCCAAACUGGGACUUGGACACGGGCCAGACUCCUACGGGGGGCAGCAGUAGGGAAUCUUUGGCAAUUGGGGGAACCCUGACCGAGCAACGCCGCGUGAGUGAAGAAGGUUUUCGGAUCGUAAAGCUCUGUUGUUAAGGAAGCGGUACUUAACCAGAAAGGGACGGCUAACUACGUGCCAGCAGCCGCGGUAAUAC
rnacentral:rRNA from 1 species